UUGCGGCUGGAUCACCUCCUUUCUGGAAACAAGUAAUCAAUCUCAAACGCCCACACUUAUCGGUUGUUGGAAGGCAUCGAAUCUUUCGAUUAAUGGGUCUGUAGCUCAGCUGGUUAGAGCACCGUCUUGAUAAGGCGGGGGUCGUUGGUUCGAGUCCAACUAGACCCACCAAAUCUUUCCUUGCAGCAAUGUGAGGUCCCUGGGGGAUUAGCUCAGCUGGGAGAGCACCUGCUUUGCAAGCAGGGGGUCGUCGGUUCGAUCCCGUCAUCCUCCACCAUCCGAUGCCUCGAAAAAUCAACACCAAAGCAGCUUUGCAGUAGCAAGGCUUCUUUGUUGUUGAUCGAUAUCCAUCGAUCAAUCGGCUGUUCUUUAACAAUUC
rnacentral:misc_RNA from 1 species